rnacentral:snRNA from 1 species
GGAUGUGAGGACAAUCUGGCUAUGACAUCUGUCACCCCAUUGAUCACCAGGGUUGAUUCGGCUGAUCUGGCUGGAGAGGCGGGUGUUCCCUUCCUUCCUCAAUGAUCCAUGUGUGUGCCUUCUGAAGCUACAUUCUCAGUCAAAGAGGAUGACCACCCCCGAUAGAGGAGGACUGUUCCUUGGUCAACGGUAUACAAGUGGCUGUGCUCCCCUGCUAGAACCUCCAAACAAGCUCUCAAGAACUAUGGUCCUUAGUGUGGGCCCCAAGGAAGAUAAACAUCCCCUUGAUGACCCUAAUCUAACCCCCCAUUU